CCGAAAGUUUGCGAUGUUUUGCAUAUAAUCGAGAAGAUUGCCACUGUUCAGUAGAUCCUCUCAAGCGAUACGUUAAGCCGUCGUGUAAAGAACAUGUAAGCCUCAGGAUGAAACAGCGUAGAAAGACAUCAAAGAGGCUGCAUUAGGAUUAGUACGGGGAACUAUUUUAACUUCAAGAAGAUUAGUGGUUAUAAAUUACAUUGGAGUGAACGAAAGGUUCCAGUGACGUUAGAG